rnacentral:lncRNA from 1 species
GGGAGCCUCAAGCAACACUUCGUGUGCAGCUCCGAGAGAUAAGGGAAAAAGAAAAAUAGAAGAUUGUGACUUGGAAAGACCCAGUAAGGAGAGAAGGAGAAUGAAUGAUUGUGAUCCUGAUAAUAACCAAGGAAAAAGUAACCGAAUAAAAAGGUGUGUAAAAUGUAACAAGAAACAUGAAGGCGUGUGCAGAAAAGGGACAAAUAAUU